rnacentral:lncRNA from 1 species
CAGAGACACAAGGAUCCCAGGCUUCCAUGAGACCGACCUUCCUGUUCCUCUCCCUCAUCCCUCCCCGGGGAGAGGAGGGGUCAGAGAAGUAACAGAGGCAGCUGUUCUUGUGGAAAAGCAGAUUUCAGUUUGGACAGAAAGAAGUGCUGAACUUCAGCAGGAAGAUGCAGCCCAGAUGCUUCACUUGGACUUUUUGUUCAAGAUUAGACAAUCAACAAUUUAAAAUAACAAUACAAAGUAAUGAAAAAGUCAAAACCA